rnacentral:rRNA from 1 species
CUACGUGCCAGCAGCCGCGGUAAUACGUAUGUCACGAGCGUUAUCCGGAUUUAUUGGGCGUAAAGCGCGUCUAGGUGGUUAUAUAAGUCUGAUGUGAAAAUGCAGGGCUCAACUCUGUAUUGCGUUGGAAACUGUAUAACUAGAGUACUGGAGAGGUAAGCGGAACUACAAGUGUAGAGGUGAAAUUCGUAGAUAUUUGUAGGAAUGCCGAUGGGGAAGCCAGCUUACUGGACAGAUACUGACGCUGAAGCGCGAAAGCGUGGGUAGCAAACAGGAUUAGAUACCCUGGUAGUCCACGCUGUAAACGAUGAUUACUAGGUGUUGGGGGUCGAACCUCAGCGCCCAAGCAAACGCGAUAAGUAAUCCGCCUGGGGAGUACGUACGCAAGUAUGAAACUCAAAGGAAUUGACGGGGACCCGCACAAGCGGUGGAGCAUGUGGUUUAAUUCGACGCAACGCGAGGCACCUUACCAGCGUUUGACAUC